rnacentral:rRNA from 1 species
UAGGGAAUCUUCCGCAAUGGACGCAAGUCUGACGGAGCAACGCCGCGUGAGUGAAGAAGGAUUUCGGUUCGUAAAACUCUGUUGUUAGAGAAGAACAGCGCAUAGAGUAACUGUUAUGCGUGUGACGGUAUCUAACCAGAAAGGGACGGCUAACUACGUGCCAGCAGCCGCGGUAAUACGUAGGUCCCGAGCGUUGUCCGGAUUUAUUGGGCGUAAAGCGAGCGCAGGCGGUUAGAUAAGUCUGAAGUUAAAGGCAGUGGCUCAACCAUUGUAGGCUUUGGAAACUGUUUAACUUGAGUGCAGAAGGAGAGAGUGGAAUUCCAUGUGUAGCGGUGAAAUGCGUAGAUAUAUGGAGGAACACCGGUGGCGAAAGCGGCUCUCUGGUCUGUAACUGACGCUGAGGCUCGAAAGCGUGGGGAGCGAACAGG